UACGGGGGGAGCAAGCGUUGUUCGGAUUUACUGGGCGUAAAGGGCGCGUAGGCGGCCAGCACAAGUCAGUUGUGAAAUCUCCGAGCUUAACUCGGAACGGUCAACUGAUACUGUGCGGCUAGAGUGCAGAAGGGGCAACUGGAAUUCUUGGUGUAGCGGUGAAAUGCGUAGAUAUCAAGAGGAACACCGAUGGCGAAGGCAGCAAACUGGUCAUCAACUGACGCUGAGGCGCGAAAGCGUGGGUAGCAAACAGG
rnacentral:rRNA from 1 species